UAUGUUUGGUUAUGUUGUUGACAACUUUUGAUAGGAUAGGGAUAUUUUAAACACAUUUUAAAAGAAAAAGAACCUUAGUAGAAAGGAAAGCAAUUUUAGAUUCCAACCGUAUUAUUACUUGUGAAAUAUUAUCAUCUAGUGGGAAAACCGCAGUGAUUGUGCCUUCAAACGGGCAAUUUGAAAGGACAACCCCACCAAAAACCAUUAUAAUUGUAAAUUGAAAUGAUUGAUAUUAAAAAUGUUUGUACCUAUGUAAUUGUACAUGUAAAGCUGGAAAUUCAGGCAUACCAUGGAAAAUUUGAAAAAAUUAAGCACCACAGACAUCAAACAACAGUGGGGAUAAUUUAAAAAACAAUAAUACAACAUAGUCAACAAUAAAGUCCUACCAGUCUGCUGAUAAAUGUGCUACUGAUAUUGUACUAAAUUAUGAUUUAGCUCUAUUUUACUCAAAUAAUGUUGAAGUAAGCUACAGUAACUCUGUUGAAAUAUCUUUAGCUAUGCUAAACCAAACUGGAGAAGCAUGAAAAAAGCUGACGUGACUGCAAGUAACUGGGACAACUUAUUGCCAUUUAUUUACUUAUCAUAAAAAUAAAACCCCAAGUUGGCCACUUAAAGUCAACCAAUUGUAUAAUUCCAAUUUUAAAUAAAAUACUGUACCCUUCCGUGGGAAAAAAUUAUGAAUCAGUUGCUUUAAAUAUGUAUGAAAAAAUAAGUCUAAGUAUGUAUGUAUGUAUUAUCAGUUUUAUUCCAAUUAUAUAAGUAAAAAACUUGUUUUAAAA